AGAGCUUACUCACAUAGCAUAUUGGUAUAUCAAAAUGAAAUGCAAGGAACCAAAAAUAACAUAAUUGAAGGCAGUAAAAGUGAAAUUAAAUAGGAAGAUCAUCAGUCAAGGAAGACCCACUGGAGACUGAAACCACCUGUUUUCAGAGCUUCAGGAAAAGACUUAAUCUGAAGGAUCCUGCAGCUAAAAAGCUUUGAAAACUGUGUUAAGGGGCCCCAUAAGCAUCGCUUCUAAACUUCACUGACAAAAGGGACUGGGGUCAUGCUGUCUGGAGUCAGAGUGAGGGACAGAAAAUGAAGCAGUGUUUUAUCAUGUGUAUUUCAGCAGGUCUUCUUGAAAUUUAACUAAAAAUAUGACUGCUCUCUCUUCAGAGAACUGCUCUUUUCAGUACCAGUUACGUCAAACAAACCAGCCCCUAGAUGUUAACUAUCUGCUAUUCUUGAUCAUACUUGGGAAAAUAUUAUUAAAUAUCCUUACACUAGGAAUGAGAAGAAAAAACACCUGUCAAAAUUUUAUGGAAUAUUUUUGCAUUUCACUAGCAUUCGUUGAUCUUUUACUUUUGGUAAACAUUUCCAUUAUAUUGUAUUUCAGGGAUUUUGUACUUUUAAGCAUUAGGUUCACUAAAUACCACAUCUGCCUAUUUACUCAAAUUAUUUCCUUUACUUAUGGCUUUUUGCAUUAUCCAGUUUUCCUGACAGCUUGUAUAGAUUAUUGCCUGAAUUUCUCUAAAACAACCAAGCUUUCAUUUAAGUGUCAAAAAUUAUUUUAUUUCUUUACAGUAAU
rnacentral:lncRNA from 1 species